GCAAGUCGUGCGGGAAGCCCCCUUCGGGGGGUGGACAGCGGCGAAAGGGAGAGUAACGCGUGGAUACCUACCUCGAGGUUCGGGAUAGCUGCGGGAAACUGCGGGUAAUACCGAAUAACAUCUCCGGAUCAAAGGUGUGAUUCCGCCUGGAGAUGGAUCCGCGUCCUAUUAGCUUGUUGGUGGGGUAACGGCCUACCAAGGCGACGAUGGGUACCGGGCGUGAGAGCGUGACCCGGCUCACUGGGACUGAGACACUGCCCAGACACCUACGGGUGGCUGCAGUCGAGAAUCUUCGGCAAUGGACGCAAGUCUGACCGAGCGACGCCGCGUGCGGGAUGAAGGCCUUCGGGUUGUAAACCGCUGUCAGUUGGGAGGAAAUCAUAUGGGGUUCUCUCCAUAUGUUGACCUAUCUUCAGAGGAAGGACGGGCUAAGUUCGUGCCAGCAGCCGCGGUAAGACGAACCGUCCAAACGUUAUUCGGAAUUACUGGGCUUAAAGGGUGCGUAGGCGGUGCUGUAAGUUGGGUGUGAAAUCCCUCGGCUCAACCGAGGAAUUGCGCCCAAUACUGCAGUACUAGAGGGAGACAGAGGUGAGCGGAACUUGUGGUGGAGCGGUGAAAUGCGUUGAUAUCACAAGGAACACCUGUGGCGAAAGCGGCUCACUGGGUCUUUUCUGACGCUGAGGCACGAAAGCUGGGGGAGCGAACGGGAUUAGAUACCCCGGUAGUCCCAGCUGUAAACGUUGAGCACUAGAC
rnacentral:rRNA from 1 species